CCUACGGGUGGCAGCAGUGAGGAAUAUUGGUCAAUGGACGCAAGUCUGAACCAGCCAUGCCGCGUGCAGGAAGACGGCUCUAUGAGUUGUAAACUGCUUUUGUACGAGGGUAAACGCAGAUACGCGUAUCUGUCUGAAAGUCUCGUACGAAUAAGGAUCGGCUAACUCCGUGCCAGCAGCCGCGGUAAUAGGGAGGAUUCAAGCGUUGUCCGGAUUUCUUGGGUUUAAAGGGUGCGUAGGGGGCCGGAUAAGUCAGAGGUCAAAGCCCGGGGCUAAACCCCGUCCCGCCGUUGAAACUGGCAGUCGCGAGUGGGAGAGAAGUAGGCGGAAUGCGCGGGGUAGCGGUGAAAUGCAUAGAUAUCGCGCAGAACACCGAUUGCGAAGGCAGCAUGCCGGCUCCACACUGACGCUGAGGCACGAAAGCGUGGGUAUCGAACAGGAUUAGAGACCCUUGUAGUC
rnacentral:rRNA from 1 species